ensembl:lncRNA
AAAAAAUCUGUGAAACAGCGAGGUGAAAGGUGAACUGCGUUAUAGCGAGGGACCUCUGUAAUUUUGAAGGUUCCUUCAUGUAAUAAUCUGCUAGAGGGUGUGGGGGGGCCACAGCCCCGUCCUCCAGGGCGUGAAGCAGGUGUGGAGGAGAUCAAAACUCCAGACAUCCAGAGGCCCCCAGAACACAAGAGACCAAGGAAGACCAACAGAGGGGCAGCUGCGCCACUGUCCCGGAAAGAGCUGAGGAGAGUCCCAGAUGAGGGCUCACUCAGCAGCCGCGGAGCAGAAGCCAGGGGGACGCCCAUCCCCGGACACAAAGAACCACCAACGCACCGAUGUCUGAGGGGGUCCGCCACUGGCAGGGGAAGUGGUGGUGUUUUCAACCGCUGCUGCCACGCUGACGGCGUAUGCGGCCAAACGGAAGAAGACAGUCUAUAUUCUUAGCAGCAUGCACAGCGUGGUUCAGACUGAUAACACUACCAAAAGGAAGCCAAACACUGUCACCCUUUACAACAAAACAAAGUGUGGCGUGGAUGUGAUGGACCAGAUGGUUCGGGAGUACACUGUCCGCAGAGGAACACGGCGCUGGCCAGUUGCCGUGUUUUAUAACAUGAUUGACAUGGCAGCACUGAAUGCACAUGUGCUGUAUCAAGCAUGCACCGGGAUGAAGGAAAGACAGGUGGACUUCCUGGUGGAGCUUGCAAGAGAGUUGGCUCACUCUCAUGUAGCUGCGAAGAAGGCAAGAAAAGAUAAGAUAAGAUAAGAUAAGAUAGAACUUUAUUAAUCCCUCGGGUGGGUUCCUCUGGGAAAUUCGACUUCCAAAAAGCACAGCAACGACCGAAGUUACAGUUACAGAAUUGUUAUAUAUAUAUAUAUAUAUAUAUAUA